UUGCCAGCAGCCGCGGUAAUACGUAGGGUGCAAGCGUUGUCCGGAAUCAUUGGGCGUAAAGAGCUCGUAGGCGGUCUGUCGCGUCUGCUGUGAAAACCUGGGGCUUAACCCCGGGCCUGCAGUGGGUACGGGCAGACUAGAGUGCGGUAGGGGAGACUGGAAUUCCUGGUGUAGCGGUGAAAUGCGCAGAUAUCAGGAGGAACACCGGUGGCGAAGGCGGGUCUCUGGGCCGUAACUGACGCUGAGGAGCGAAAGCAUGGGUAGCGAACAGGAUUAGAUACCCUGGUAGUCCAUGCCGUAAACGUUGGGCGCUAGGUGUGGGGCUCAUUCCACGAGUUCCGUGCCGCAGCAAACGCAUUAAGCGCCCCGCCUGGGGAGUACGGCCGCAAGGCUAAAACUCAAAGGAAUUGACGGGGCCCCGCACAAGCGGCGGAGCAUGCGGAUUAAUUCGAUGCAACGCGAAGAACCUUACCAAGGCUUGACAUGCAGGGAAAUCUCCCAGAGAUGGGAGGUCCGCAAGGGUCCUGCACAGGUGGUGCAUGGUUGUCGUCAGCUCGUGUCGUGAGAUGUUGGGUUAAGUCCCGCAACGAGCGCAACCCUCGUUCUAUGUUGCCAGCGGGUAAUGCCGGGGACUCAUAGGAGACUGCCGGGGUCAACUCGGAGGAAGGUGGGGAUGACGUCAAAUCAUCAUGCCCCUUAUGUCUUGGGCUUCACGCAUGCUACAAUGGCCAGUACAAAGGGCUGCGAGACCGUAAGGUGGAGCGAAUCCCAAAAAGCUGGUCUCAGUUCGGAUUGGGGUCUGCAACUCGACCCCAUGAAGUCGGAGUCGCUAGUAAUCGCAGAUCAGCAACGCUGCGGUGAAUACGUUCCCGGGCCUAAUCUAGAUGCAUU
rnacentral:rRNA from 1 species